GAAAAAUGAAGAUACUCUGACUGCUUCCUAUGAUUACAGUGAAGACCUCAGAUCCAACUCUGAUUUCACUCUAGUU
rnacentral:snoRNA from 1 species